GAUGAACGCUGGCGGCGUGCCUAAUACAUGCAAGUCGAGCGAACAGAUAAGGAGCUUGCUCCUUUGACGUUAGCGGCGGACGGGUGAGUAACACGUGGGUAACCUACCUAUAAGACUGGAAUAACUCCGGGAAACCGGGGCUAAUGCCGGAUAACAUUUAGAACCGCAUGGUUCUAAAGUGAAAGAUGGUUUUGCUAUCACUUAUAGAUGGACCCGCGCCGUAUUAGCUAGUUGGUAAGGUAACGGCUUACCAAGGCAACGAUACGUAGCCGACCUGAGAGGGGGGGGGGGGACAAGGGGAGUGGCACCCGGGCCGGGACCCCGGGGGGGGGCAGAGGGGGGAAAGUUGGGGAAUGGGGGGAAGGCCGGAGGGAGAAACGCGGGGGGAGUGAAGAGGGUUUGCGGAUGGAAAAACGUUGUUAUGGGGAAAAAAAAAAUGUGUAAGUAAGGGUGCCCGUCUGGAGGGUACAAAAAAAAAAGGCAACGCCAACUUACGG
rnacentral:rRNA from 1 species